rnacentral:lncRNA from 1 species
GCAGAACGAGCAGAGCUCUGGAUGUGCACUGGAGGCUCCUAGGGCAGGGACAUGGAGCAGAUUGCUGGCUCAGGACAUGCCAAGGUGGUCCCUGCCAUUGCCUGGUCCCUGCCACAACAACACCGAGCUGUUCUUUGCGAUGUUAAUGACUUAGUGCCAGCCAAGCAGUGCUGAAUGGCACCAAACUGACCACAUCAGGUGGAUUUCUCCUGGUGAUGACAGAGAGAAGGACAGACUUGAAUCCCACAUCCUCACAUUCAAUGCGUUGGCAUUGCACCCACUCUCUUACAUGGGUGAUGCUCUGAAACAUUUGGGAGAUAGAGGUCUGUCAAACACAAAUAACAUAUCCCCAGGGUUUUGGUCUGUCUGACCCAUUUGCAAUGUUCCUAGAUUUUUAAUUGCACUUUAUUCUCCUUUUAUUUCUCAGAAAGAAGGUGGAUGUGGCUGUCUGCUGCCAGUCCAGUAGUGGCCCACACCCUUCUCCAGGACUGCGGCUUAAGGCCAGGGUUGGAGGUUUUAAGAUUGGAUGUUUGCAUUGCAGCAUGGCACCGGUGGAGAAGUAAGACAGCCAUAUGCCAGCACCACUGCAGUGAGAACGAGAGAGGGGAACCUUCCAGAGCCCACAGGAGGAUGAGGACGGUGGCACUUUGCAGGAGCAGAACCGCAGCCCCUGGGCACGCAGCCCUUGCCCUGCUCAGCCCGGCUCUCACACCUGGAACAGCAGACAGCACAGAGGUCCAGCAGACAGUAAAUCACAGCAACAUGAAGUCUCGUGCACAGAACUGAAGUGGUUCCUUAAAGCAAAUUUGGCAGGAAAUAAGUCAUCAUCUUGCAAAGCCAGUUCACUCUCAUACGCAGCACUCCCUGAGCUCUCCGCUAAAAUCUGCGAGCAGGCACGAAAAGUCAUUAUUUUGAAAAAUGGGGCAAGAUCUCUGAGUCGUGGCGAGGCCCUGUGAGAUGGACCACAUGAUGCUGCUAUCAAAACAACACAGAACUUGGUCAGGGAAUCACCCCAUGAGUCCUCCCCGACUCCUGGGCUUGCAGCGCGCGGGUACUCAGAUAUCACAAGGGCCAUUAGUUUGGCUCCUUAUAAAAACAAGGUCGUGCUGCUCUCACAUCUUCCCUCUGCGCUUUCCCUCUUUCUUCUUUCCUCCUCAGCUAAUGUUGUGAUUUUUUUGUAGGCUUUUUUUCGGCCUUUCUUUCUAGUUUCCAUUUCUAUCGUGCAAACAUGCCACGGUGAAGCGAUGUAAGCAAUGCAUAAUAUAUUUGCCGUAAUGUAUGAUUCAUUUACUAGCUUUCAUAAUUAAUGCGGAUGUGUUUUACAUACACAGAACUUCCUGCCUGCAUUUUAUGAUGUGAACAGUCUUCAAAAUCUAAUAAAAUGUAAUCCAUUAAAAACA